rnacentral:rRNA from 1 species
CGUAGGGUGCAAGCGUUAAUCGGAAUUACUGGGCGUAAAGCGUGCGCAGGCGGUUUUGUAAGACAGGUGUGAAAUCCCCGGGCUUAACCUGGGAACUGCAUUUGUGACUGCAAAGCUGGAGUGCGGCAGAGGGGGAUGGAAUUCCGCGUGUAGCAGUGAAAUGCGUAGAUAUGCGGAGGAACACCGAUGGCGAAGGCAAUCCCCUGGGCCUGCACUGACGCUCAUGCACGAAAGCGUGGGGAGCAAACAGGAUUAGAUACCCUGGUAGUCCACGCCCUAAACGAUGUCAACUGGUUGUUGGUCCUUCACUGGAUCAGUAACGAAGCUAACGCGUGAAGUUGACCGCCUGGGGAGUACGGCCGCAAGGUUG